UACGUAGGGGGCAAGCGUUGUCCGGAUUUAUUGGGCGUAAAGAGCGUGUAGGCGGCCCGGUAAGUCCGCUGUGAAAGUCAAAGGCUCAACCUUUGAAUGUCAGUGGAUACUGCCGGGCUAGAGUCCGGAAGAGGCGAGUGGAACUCCUGGUGUAGCGGUGGAAUGCGCAGAUAUCAGGAAGAACACCAACGGCGAAGGCAGCUCGCUGGGACGGUACUGACGCUGAGACGCGAAAGCGUGGGGAGCAAACAGG
rnacentral:rRNA from 1 species